rnacentral:rRNA from 1 species
CCCUUAGAUGUUCCGGGGCCGCACGCGCGCUACAAUGGAUGAAUCAACGCGUCAUCCUGGCCCGAAAGGGUUGGGGAACCGCUGAACCUCAUCCGUGGUUGGGAUUGGGGUUUGUAAUUAUUCCCCAUGAACUAGGAAUUCCCAGUAAGCGCGAGUCAUAAGCUCGCGUUGAUUACGUCCCUGCCCUUUGUACACACCGCCCGUCGCUACUACCGAUUGGAUGGUUUAGUGAGAUCCUCGGAUUGGUCACGGCACGGUGGCAACACUGCGUCGGUGUGCCGAGAAGACGAUCAAACUUGAUCAUCUAGAGGAAGUAAAAGUCGUAACA